CAAGCGGUGGAGCAUGUGGUUUAAUUCGAUGCAACGCGAAGAACCUUACCUGGUCUUGACAUCCACAGAAUCUUGCAGAGAUGCGAGAGUGCCUUCGGGAACUGUGAGACAGGUGCUGCAUGGCUGUCGUCAGCUCGUGUUGUGAAAUGUUGGGUUAAGUCCCGCAACGAGCGCAACCCUUAUCCUUUGUUGCCAUUGGUUCGGCCGGGAACUCAAAGGAGACUGCCGUUGAUAAAGCGGAGGAAGGUGGGGACGACGUCAAGUCAUCAUGGCCCUUACGACCAGGGCUACACACGUGCUACAAUGGCGUAUACAAAGGGAGGCGACCUCGCGGGAGCAAGCGGACCUCAUAAAGUACGUCUAAGUCCGGAUUGGAGUCUGCAACUCGACUCCAUGAAGUCGGAAUCGCUAGUAAUCGUGAAUCAGAAUGUCACGGUGAAUACGUUCCCGGGCCUUGUACACACC
rnacentral:rRNA from 1 species